rnacentral:rRNA from 1 species
AUUGAACGCUGGCGGCAGGCCUAACACAUGCAAGUCGAACGAGUGGCGGACGGGUGAGUAAUGUCUGGGAAACUGCCUGAUGGAGGGGGAUAACUACUGGAAACGGUAGCUAAUACCGCAUACCAUCAGAUGUGCCCAGAUGGGCUUAGCUAGUUGGUGGGGUAACGGCUCACCAAGGCGACGAUCCCUAGCUGGUCUGAGAGGAUGACCAGGCAACAGGGAACCGGGACCCGGUCCAGACUCCCACGGGAGGCAGUAGUGGGGAAUAUUGCAACAUGGGGGCAAGCCUGAUGCAGGCAUGCCGGGUGUAUGAAGAAGGCCUUCGGGUUGUAAAGUACUUUCAGCGGGGAGGCGUUACCCGCAGAAGAAGCACCGGCUAACUCCGUGCCAGCAGCCGCGGUAAUAC